UACGUAGGGGCCUAGCGUUGUCCGGAAUUAUUGGGCGUAAAGAGCUCGUAGGCGGUUCGGCAAGUCGGAUGUGAAAGCCCCGGGCUUAACCUGGGAAUGGCAUUUGGGACUGCAAGGCUUGAGUGCGGCAGAGGAGACUGGAAUUCCUGGUGUAGCAGUGAAAUGCGUAGAUAUCAGGAGGAACACCGAUGGCGAAGGCAGGUCUCUGGGCUGACACUGACGCUCAUGCACGAAAGCGUGGGGAGCGAAACAAGGAUUGAGAAACC
rnacentral:rRNA from 1 species